rnacentral:lncRNA from 1 species
UUUAGUCCAUUCAACUCAAGUAUAUCCCUAUAACCAGUUAGUCAUCAUGCUUCCUCCAAUCGUACGAUAAACGUUCUGAAAUCGUAAUUUAUGGUCUUCGCUUUGCAGCAAGAUACACAAGAGUGAUGAAUGACAACAGACUAACAAAGAGGGCCGGGUCAAGAAAUAUAGAAGAUAAUGCAAGCGGUAUUAUACAACAAGGAGGAAAACAAAAUCUGCACUUCACACGUCCUAGAUGAACAGAAUGACGGACUGGCCUUUCUUCCAUCGACUAAAAAGAACUUGUUACACAGCAUCAAGAAGAACAAGAUCUAACAGAACUUGGAAUAACACUUGCAGAAAUCACAAUUGAGGCCGCAAGGUGCGGAAUUGAGGCCGCAAGGUGCGGUGUGCUUACUUUUCAAGGUUGAAGAACGGGCACUUUUGUGCUGUUGAAGGCCCUCAUGUCCCCCAGCGCCCUUGAUCUUGUAACUCCCACAUUGUCCUGAAGAAUUACAAAGCGGAACUCUCUUCCCCAAUCCAAUCCUGAAGUGAUUUGAAGAGAUAUUGAUUCUGAAUCAUCGAAUCAUGAUUUAUUAGGAACAUGAGCUACCACCUAUCUCAGCAAACGGACACCUAGCAAUCUAAAUAUGUUGAAGUAAGAGUCUCAUUGAUUGAA